AGCCACUUCACAAGGAUUGCCUUGAGAUUGCCCAAACUUAGGAGGCAGCAUUUGCUUUUUGCUGCUGAAGACAUGAGAGUCUACAGGGAAGUGUCCAUAAUGGACUCCUUUUUAUGAAGCCUUCUCUGGCAGAAGGAAACUGCAGAAAAGACUAAACCAAAACAUUGCAGGAGUCGGAUAAUGAGAGAUGGGAAAUAGAAUACUAUUGAUACUAACGAGUAGCCAAAAAAAUCUGAAGUAGGCCUUCACAUUGAGUUUACACAAAAGAAACAAUUAAAAGAGGUGGACAACAGAAUUGUACAGAAGAAUCCAGUGUCCACUUCACAUACACCAUACGAAGAAUGCAGUCAGUCAUCCUUUCACCCUCUCUACUCCUGUUCAAUACUCCCCUGUUUAUAUGCAUAUGGAUUUUACAGCACCCUUUCUGCCACAGCAUCACUACAGGAGAUCACACUGAGCUUCUUGUCCUCUUCUUCUUAGCUGCUUCCUUACAGUUUCUUGGCCCAAAAGCUUUCCUUACCUAAGUUGCCUUAUGUCCAUAGCACGCUGGACUUAUUUGAAUAGAGCUGACACAACAGUCAGUUUACUGAUUUCCAUUUUCCCAGAUGUUAUUGCAUUCAGUAUUGCUAUGAAGUCCAGCUCCUGCAAGAAUGUGAUUCUUGAAGAACUUUCCCUUUCUUUUAAAAAAGUGAAAACUUUCUGCUUCAACGCAGUCCUUGCUGGACACAAAAGAAACAUUACAAAGUAUAAGUUUUAUAAAAUUGAAAAGAUAAAAUGUAUGAAGCUUUAUACUUCCAAAAUUAAUGUGUUUUUUUUUUUUUAUU